GUAAAACCAAACAGUACAACUUAGAUAAAUAAAUUGGGUUGCAAUUACUCAAAAAAAUAAAAACGUUCAUUCGCCUUUAAUUUUUUGUGUAAUUAAAACGAAAAUGAAAUUUUAAGUUUACAGCAAUCAAAUGCUUUAAUUUAUUUUAGUUAGUGCACUCAAAAUAGUUAACUGUUACUGUCUGACGUCACGCACGUGCUCCUCCUUCAACUUUAGUUGGAAGUGCGCGAAAACACGCCAUGUUUUAGUUGCUCGCCUCUCGGAAAAUUUGUUAAGUUUGCCAAACGUGAAAACUCAAUCAUAUUUUAUAAGAAUAUAAUAGGUGGUGAUAUUUUUCGAUCGGGAAUUUGCAGUGGUGUUGCCUGUGAGGACCUUUGAUGGGAAACGCGGCAUGCAGUUUUCUGAACCUGCUGGUGACACUCUUUUCUUCGUUGUGCUGCCUAGCAUUUUAUUCCUCUUCUCUUCGGGCACGCUAAUCUGGCUAAAAGUGAAGCAGCUGGCAGUUCAUUUUGAGUGUUCAUCGUGUAUCAGAGAUGGCUAUACAAGACAUUACCUUGAGGAAAACAUGGACGUCCAUGUACGAUGAGCUGCCAUCCUCAGUGCUCUCCCCGCCUAUCUGCAAGAGGAUGACUCCAACUUUCUCAAGAUGUGGGAUGUUGAACAAUCUAAUGAGCCAGGAAUUGAUGAUGUACCACUCGGUCUCCUCUCCAUUUGUGGCAAUUCAACAGAUGCCACGUUCUUCUGCCCAGAGAAGAUUGCAGUUGUGCUUGAGGGUAACAUGGUAAUCGAUUUUUCCACAUUCGCCGAUGCAUUUAGCAUGCUAUUUGGACUAACUUACGCAUUGGAUCAAAGUUACCCAAAAGAGUUGGCCAACACAUUUGACUUUACUCAGAAAGUCUUGAUGGGUCUGGAGCAUGGGAAGCUAAGGCCCAGAGUAUUGAGUCUUAAAAAUGAGCUUUUUGCAGUGGAGUAACCUCAGUGUUUGAACAACGAUUACAAAGGUACUCCUUUAUUUGACAUUUCAUGUAAAAUUUCACUCCUUUCACUUUUAGCGCGCACCAUAGUGCACUGAAUUUUUUUUUUGGAAACAGCUUACUUAUGUUUUUUGAAGUAUGAUUGUUCAACAUACAGUUUAAAUGUGUUGCUCUUCAAGUUGGCAUGUUUGCACUGUUUUGAUGUGUUAUACAAUGACAGACAACGUAGUGCUUUGCAGUUUACACUGUAGUAAUCAUCUUUGAUUUAUGUAUGCUAAUACAUAGCCUAGUACAUUACAUAGUAGAUCAUUAUAUGCAGUUCAGUAAAUCAUUGAGAAAUUUGAUUGUCAAUAUUGGAUUUUUACACUAUUUUCCAAUUGUGUAAUUCGCAGAACAGUUUCUCAGUUGAUUUAUUGUGUAAAAAAUGACUACCAUGUUAGAAAUUAUAUAUACCACUCAGAUGAUGGUUUAAAGACUGUUUAUAUAUAAAUAUAUAUAUAUAUAUUUUAAAUUAUAUUAUAAUAUAUAACUCUUAAUAUUGUU